GGGUACUGCUAUCGGAGUAUGACUAAGCCAUGCAAGCCAGCUGACGACCUUCGUUGGCGGCGUAAGGCUGAGUAACACGUAGUCAAUCUGCCCUAUGGACGGGUAUACCCUUGGGAAACUGAGGAUAACCCCCGAUAUUUCAUCCAUGCUGGAAUGCUUGAUGAUUUAAAUCUUUUAGUGAAUUGGAGCUAAAUGGCCAUAGGAUGAGACUGCGUCUGAUUAGGUUGUUGGUGAGGUAACGGCUCACCAAGCCGAUAAUCAGUAGGGGCAAUGGGAGUUGGAGCCCCCAGAAGGACACUGAGACAAGGGUCCUAGUCCUACGGGAUGCAGCAGGCGCGGAACCUUUACAAUGCGCGAAAGCGUGAUAGGGAAACUCCGAGUGAUAGAGGCAAAAUGUUUCUAUCUUUUUGUUAAUCUAAAAAGUUAGCAGAAUAAGAUCUGGGUAAGACCAGUGCCAGCCGCCGCGGUAAUACUGGCAGAGCAAGUGGUGCCCACGAAUAUUGGGUUUAAAGAGUCCGUAGCGGGUCUGUUAAGUCCACUGUGAAAUCUAGCAGCUUAACUGUUAGGCGUGCAGUAGAUACUGGCAGGCUUGGGAGUGGGGGAGAUCAGGAGUACUUGUGGGGUAGUGGUAAAAUACUGUAAUCCUACAAGGACUACCAGUGGCGAAGGCGCCUGAUCAAAACACGUCCGACCGUGAGGGACGAAGGCUAGGAGAACGAAUCGGAUUAGAUACCCGAGUAGCCCUAGCAGUAAAUUAUGCAGACUGUGGUGUUGCGUUGACUUCGGGUCGACGCAGUGCUGUAGCGUAAGUGUUAAGUCUGCCACCUGGGGAGUACGAUCGCAAGAUUGAAACUUAAAGGAAUUGGCGGGGGAGCACCACAAGGCGUGGAUGCUGCGGUUC
rnacentral:rRNA from 1 species